AGUCUACAAACUCCUUCACUGUGAUUAUAAACAAUGCAGCCUCUGUAAUAAAUGUUUCUAUUUCUGUUUUUUUCAAGUGUCCUUGAAUCCUCCGGCCCUAACACAGCCUCCUGAAAGACUAC